rnacentral:rRNA from 1 species
UACGGGGGGGGCAAGCGUUGUUCGGAAUUACUGGGCGUAAAGGGCUCGUAGGUGGCCAACUAAGUCAGACGUGAAAUCCCUCGGCUUAACCGGGGAACUGCGUCUGAUACUGGAUGGCUUGAGUUUGGGGGAGGGACGCGGAAUUCCAGGUGUAGCGGUGAAAUGCGUAGAUAUCUGGAGGAACACCGGUGGCGAAGGCGGCAUCCUGGACCGGUAUUGACGCUGAGGCGCGAAAGCCAGGGGAGCAAACGGG